rnacentral:lncRNA from 1 species
GCUGGCUGUAGACACACUGUUAUACAAAGCUUCCCUUCAACUCUAGCCGGAUGAUCCACCUGCAGAUUUUGGAAUCGCCGCUUGCCAGAAUGGAAUGAGUCAGUUCUUCAAGUAGAAGGGCAGGGAGAAAAAAAAUUCAAAUAGAGGACACAGUACAGAGGCUGCCAAACCGUGAAGGUUUGGAGAGACAGAAGUGAGAAGGGUAGGCCGGGGUUGCUGGGCCUGGGCAAGGACAGAACAGUGGAUGAAGCUAGCAAGAGAGUUAGGACAAAACCAUGAGGGUGGAAGAUGAAGAUAAUAUAACUGAUCAUUUGGCGGUGACAGCAGAGCACCUGGAUGGAUUUUCGUGCUGCCUGAGGAAGUUACCACCAAGACCCUGCUUGAGAGAAGAUAGUGAGGCCCUACUUGGGUUCUGGCCAUACAUGCCAAACAAUCCAUGUUCUGAAAGCUUGGAUGCUGGUUACAGUUCUAAGGCUGUGUACUUCAACAAGUCAAACUUCAUUUCUCAGAGCCUUGUAACUAUCAUUGAUGACUUUGUCUCACGCUAUGCUGGUCCUAAUGUGGAGCAACACAGUUCUACCAGCAGGUCCUUCUACUCUCCUUCAUGCUGGACUGCAUGGACCUGUUUCAUCACUCUGGAUGGUGGUAUGAGCCUUGAAGCAUGGACAUUGUGCCCUGGAGAUGUGUCCUCAGGUUCCCCAGGGGUCUCUGCAGCCAUUCUCCAUCUGUUGAGCUAGAGAGGGCUCAAGGACAGAGGAGAGGAGCUGAGAUGGAACAGCUUCUGGGAUGGUUAUUUUGGCCCUCUGUCCCUUUACUCGAGGUGACCUCCUGCCUCCAGCUCCAGCUGGCAGAGGGUGGCAGACAGAGGGAGUCUGUGCAGAGGCAACCUUUGCUCAUCUUCAACGUACUCCUCUGCCGAAAGCUGACUUUGUGGCGACCUCUGCAGUCCCGUGUUCACUUCUCUGCAGCCCCUGAGUUUGCAAUGACAUGCUCUCAUAGUUUCCUUCAGAAGUUUCGUUCAUAUAGCUCCCAGGAUGGGGACCUUCAGAGGGCCAGGCUGUUCUGUAACUAACGUGAAUGUGUAAUCUGUCCAAGCCUUGACUAAUGCGUUCCUUGCAUUAUUAAACACAGAUUAAAU